GAUGAACGCUGGCGGCGUGCCUAAUACAUGCAAGUAGAACGCUGAAGGAGGAGCUUGCUUCUCUGGAUGAGUUGCGAACGGGUGAGUAACGCGUAGGUAACCUGCCUGGUAGCGGGGGAUAACUAUUGGAAACGAUAGCUAAUACCGCAUAAGAGUAGAUGUUGCAUGACAUUUGCUUAAAAGGUGCAAUUGCAUCACUACCAGAUGGACCUGCGUUGUAUUAGCUAGUUGGUGAGGUAACGGCUCACCAAGGCAACGAUACAUAGCCGACCUGAGAGGGUGAUCGGCCACACUGGGAAUGAGACACGGCCCAGACUCCUUCGGGAGGCAGCAGUAGGGAAUCUUCGGCAAUGGACGGAAGUCUGACCGAGCAACGCCGCGUGAGUGAAGAAGGUUUUCGGAUCGUAAAGCUCUGUUGUAAGAGAAGAACGAGUGUGAGAGUGGAAAGUUCACACUGUGACGGUAUCUUACCAGAAAGGGACGGCUAACUACGUG
rnacentral:rRNA from 1 species